GUCAGGAGAUCGAGACCAUCCGAACUAACAUGGUGAAACCCCGUCUGUACUAAAAAUAUAAAAAAUUAGCCAGGUGUGGUGGCGUGCGCCUGUAGUCUCAGCUACACGGGAGGCUGAGGCAAGAGAAUGGUGUGAACCCGGGAGGUGGAGCUUGCAGUGAGCUGAGACCACGCCACUGCACUCCAGCCUGGGCGACAGAGCGAGAUUAUGUCUCAAAAAAAAAAAAAAAAUGGUAAUAGUGGCCCGGCACGGUGGCUCAUGCCUGUAAUCCCAGCAGUUUGGGAGGCCAAGGCGGGCACAUCACGAGGUCAGAAGAUGGAGACCAUCCUGGCUAACACGGUGAAACCCCGUCUCUAUUAAAAAUACAAAAUACUAGCCGGGCGUGGUGGCGGGCGCCUGUAGUCCCAGCUACUGAGGAGGCUGAGACAGGAGAAUCGCUUGAACCCGGGAGGCGGAGGUUGCAGUGAGCCAAGAUCGUGCCACUGCACUCCAGCCUGGGUGACAGAGCGAGACUCCGUCUCAAAAAAAAAAAAAAGGUAAUAGUGUAUUUUUAAAAGAUGGUAAUAGUGUCUCUUCUGCAUUGUAAACUCAAGAGCUGUGACUAGGCCAAUGGGGCAUCUCCGUGUUUUUUAUUAUCCAGAUGAUGUUCUGUGCCCUUUGAGUUUACCUUACUUUUGCAGAUUACAGAGUAAGCCGCCAGCAGAAGCAAUAAAGACAUUACUGGGCCUUUCCACUGGAACAUCAUGCCUCUGAAGAAAAAAAAAGUGCAAACAUUACAAUAGAUUCAGCUCCUUUAGUUCUCACUUCUGUCUCCAAGUCAAGAUAAAAUACUGACAUUGAAAUAGAGUGGAUGACACGCUUGAAAUGAGUCAUGUGCCUGAAACGUCAUUAACAAAAACAGUUCCAGAGGCAAUCCAGGAAAAACUCCCCACGGACUUACAGAGGGAGCUCUCACCUUUAACAUGUUACUUUUUCCUUGUCUCAGGCUUCCUCGGAAAACAACCUAUAACUAACUUUCUGGGAGUAAAGCUUCAGGUGGAAGAACAAUUGGAUCAAACUUGGAAAACAUAAGUGGUCAUUUAAAUUGUCAGUACCCAAAGAUACAAAAAAAUCCAGUAUGGGGCACGCAAAGCUGCUCCUGGAGUGGUUUCCUGUUUGCAGUAGAGGCCUCAACAGUCCUUGACCAGCUUCUCCUGUGGCUGUGCCAUUCUUUACCCCACCCCUGGUUAGCAUCAAUGGAGACACAGCCACUUGACCUUCAGACCAUUGUUGGCCCUCCCUGGGCCGUUUUCCUUACUGGUCUUUUGGAUCAAGACAUUUCCAUGUUAUAUCUAAGUAUUUAUUCUUGAGUUUUAAACCCCCUUGCUAAUUCCUGCUUAUCUCUCAAGCCUUAGCUCAUAUGCUGCUCCCUCCGAGUGAUCUUCCUUGACCCUCUUGACUAGGUUGGCUCAAGGUUAUUGGAGCUAUGUGCUCUCCCCAUAUCAUCCAGUACAUCCCCUGUUGUAACAUGUAUUCAUUUAUUCAUUCAACAAGUAUUUCCUGCAUUGAGUCCCUGCAAUGUACCAGAUGCCCCCAGUUUGUCUACUCCAUUGAACUUCGCAUGCUUGGAGCCCCCGGCCUCAGCACACUCAAUCGCACAAGCCAGCCUGCAGCACCUAUACAGCACCAUGGGAGUCCCCUGCAGAGCUGCAACUUCGAGAGUGGGUAUAGUGACGUAACUCAGUUUCUUCAACGGAUGAACACUUCAACUUUGAAACCACUAGCCUGUAGGUGUGGACGAAAAGGCAGCUGCAUGUUAUAAAACAAUAUUACUCAUACUUUUGGAUCAAGCUACUUUCAGUCCCAUGGGUAGGGAGGAGGGGCAAUUUGCUGAAGCCCACUGCUCUUCCAGUGCUCACAAGCCAAGGGCCCUACGGGAUCUGUUUCACAGGACUCAUGCUUAUGGCAGCUGAGCACAUCUGUCCUGUAUGUCUGCCAGCAGCCACGUCCCUCUCACUCCUGUGACGACAGCCUUGACUAUAUUUAGAAAUUCCAUUUCUGAUUGCAUUUCACUGCUGAAUGGUCCUAGAAUCCUUUAUUGCCCCUAGCCCCAUCACAAGAGACGGCCAGCCACAGCCAUUUUUAUCUCGACAACAUACUGAAUACUGACAGAACAAACAGGCAAGUUGUAGACUCACCAGGAUUUAUACAUAUUUGAUUUUUUAUUACCAAUCAAAAAUAAAUUCCAUAUAUCGUUUAGCAAAUAUUAUCAUUGUUUUGUGACAAAAGACACAAGAGUCAUAACAACAAAACUCCCCGAGAGUCAAACUCAUAACGCCAAAAUAAAUCACAAAAAUAUACAAAUUAAAAUAUGCAAAAUAAAUACGGCGGCUGUCACCUGCCUACCCAUUUGGAUGCCAUUUGCAAAGUUCUCCCUCACAUGGAAGACACAGUGGGUGGGCCAGUUCCAGGGUAUGGCUCAUCCCAGGAACCAGAGGUUGAAAUAGGAAGUGAAAAAUUGCACUGGGAAGAGAAGUCAUCAGACCAACAAUAUUUGGGAAUAAUGAUGACCCUCUGUGAGAAGGGAUGAUCAGUGGGCCAGGGAAGAGGAGGAGGGCCAGCCAGUUGGUGGUAACCGUGUGCACAGAGGUCACUGUGGAGGUGUGUGCACCUGCCCCUUUUGCUUCACAUACCCCCACCAAUGUCUUUUGCUCCGCCUGGCAGUCAGGGCUGUCAGGAAUAUAGCUCUGCCAGCUUCCAAAAGGACUUGGGAGCAAGCUGCUCCUGUACAAGACUAAGGGCUUUCCUCCAAUAGGGAACAAAAGUCUGGUGUCUUUUUUCCUUACAGUUGAGAACCCAUGGGUGUCACCACCUCUCCAGGCUUCCAGGAGUCAGUUCUAUGGCUAGGAGACCUCAGACUGGCCAGGGGUAGGCAAACUUGGUGCAAGACAAUCCCUGGUCCUAAGAGUUAGGAUUCUCUAGGCACCUGGAGAGCAGGGCACUUGGGGUGAGGAAAGGAGUGAAUAAAUAAUACUCAGGCGGAAGGCCUGCAGAGUUUCACCUGCCAGGCUCUCGGGACCCAGCUCCUGCUGCACCCAGCGGAAGGACCAACGUGGACCUUGGUCCCACAGCCUCCCCAACUCUGGGAAGUCUGGAGUUUUGCAGCAGGGCCUGAUUCAGCCCCAGGGAAGAGGCGCCAGGGCAGGAAUUCACAUGAGGGCAGAGCUCUUAGUACAGUACUACUAACUUCAGCAAGGGCAGGAUGACCUCUCAUGCUAGGAUCACACGUGUGAGAAAGCGGGGUUGCAAGCUGCAUGCCUUUAGGAGGACCCCUUCUCUCCUGAGGUUCUAUAAGUGGGUGGAUAAGGCCAGGUGAGCCUUGCCAGCCACAGAGGAAAGGACAUAAAGAACCUGCUUCCGUGGUUUCCCACAUGUCCUCGUCUCCACCCCCAAGAGGGACUGAAGCUUGGGGAUUCGAAAUAAGGGGUCUGGGAAAAAGGCUUCAGUCAACAAGUCAGCCUUGACUCUCAUUGUGGGGCAGAGGUGGUACUGACUGCUAACAAUGCAGAUGCUGAUGACUGACAGUUCCUUCUGGAACAAAAAGGAAGAACCCAGACAAAUCACCUCCAACAUAGAUGCCCUCCCGCCGAGGGGGAACCUUUGGUAAAAGUGAGGGCAGGGCCUGGGGAGCAGGGGUGAGCAAUCAAAGGCCUGAGACCCUGCCUAACGCUUGAGUCAGCCCUGUCACAAAGGGCCAGUUGUCCAAAGGGCCAGAUGGGAGGCAGGGAUGUGUCCUCAGCUGAGUCCCGACUCACCAGGAGAGGC